GCGGGAGUGGUGAAACUGGCAGACACGCAGGAUUUAGGUUCCUGUGCCGCAAGGUGUGAGGGUUCGAGUCCCUUCUCCCGCACCA
rnacentral:tRNA from 1 species